UACAGAGGGGGCAAGCGUUGUUCGGAAUUACUGGGCGUAAAGGGCGCGUAGGCGGCCUGUUAAGUCGAACGUGAAAUCCCCGGGCUCAACCCGGGAACUGCGUCCGAUACGGGCAGGCUAGAGUUCGGUAGGGGAGACUGGAAUUCCUGGUGUAGCGGUGAAAUGCGCAGAUAUCAGGAGGAACACCGGUGGCGAAGGCGGGUCUCUGGGCCGAUACUGACGCUGAGGAGCGAAAGCGUGGGGAGCAAACAGG
rnacentral:rRNA from 1 species